rnacentral:rRNA from 1 species
UACGGAGGAUCCGAGCGUUAUCCGGAUUUAUUGGGUUUAAAGGGUGCGUAGGCGGCCUGUUAAGUCAGGGGUGAAAGACGGUAGCUCAACUAUCGCAGUGCCCUUGAUACUGAUGGGCUUGAAUGUACUAGAGGUAGGCGGAAUGUGACAAGUAGCGGUGAAAUGCAUAGAUAUGUCACAGAACACCAAUUGCGAAGGCAGCUUACUAUGGUAUAAUUGACACUGAGGCACGAAAGCGUGGGGAUCAAACAGG